rnacentral:rRNA from 1 species
GUACACACCGCCCGUCACACCAUGGGAGUGGGUUGCACCAGAAGUAGCUAGUCUAACCGCAAGGGGGACGGUUACCACGGUGUGAUUCAUGACUGGGGUGAAGUCGUAACGAGGUAGCCGUAGGUGAACCUGCAGAAGGAU